CCUACGGGGGGCAGCAGUGAGGAAUAUUGGUCAAUGGACGAGAGUCUGAACCAGCCAAGUAGCGUGAAGGAUGACUGCCCUAUGGGUUGUAAACUUCUUUUAUAUGGGAGUAAAAUGUUCCACGUGUGGGAUUUUGUAUGUACCAUAUGAAUAAGGAUCGGCUAACUCCGUGCCAGCAGCCGCGGUAAUACGGAGGAUCCGAGCGUUAUCCGGAUUUAUUGGGUUUAAGGGGAGCGUAGGUGGAUUGUUAAGUCAGUUGUGAAAGUUUGCGGCUCAACCGUAAAAUUGCAGUUGAAACUGGCAGGCUUGAGUACAGUAGAGGUGGGCGGAAUUCGUGGUGUAGCGGUGAAAUGCUUAGAUAUCACGAAGAACUCCGAUUGCGAAGGCAGCUCACUGGACUGCAACUGACACUGAGGCUCGAAAGUGUGGGUAUCAAACAGGAUUAGAUACCCGAGUAGUC
rnacentral:rRNA from 1 species